rnacentral:lncRNA from 1 species
CUGUAUCUCAAUAUCUGUUUGUAUCUCAUAUCUGUAUCUCUGUAAUCAUCAUACCGCAUGCAUAUGCCCCCAAAAGGCAAAAGCGCCCAAACACACGGCUCGAAGCCUCUAUGUGUGUUCAGACGGGCCCCAAAGGCCUCUCAUCUCAUCUCAUCUGUAUCAUUGUAUCUGGAGGGAAGGGUACUGUCUAAUGAUUUCAAAAACAAUCAUUAUACUCAUAUUCACAUACCUCUUAACCAUAUUUUAAAUCAUACCACAUUUGAAUCCACUUUUCUUAUCUUUAAAAUACUAUCAUGCUUAUU